GACGUAGGGGGCGAGCGUUGUCCGGAAUUACUGGGCGUAAAGAGCACGUAGGCGGAUGAAUAAGUCAGGUGUGAAAGACCGCAGCCCAACUGCGGGAUUGCACUUGAAACUGUUUAUCUUGAGGGCAGGAGAGGUCAGUAGAAUUCCUGGUGUAGCGGUGAAAUGCGUAGAAAUCAGGAGGAAUACCAGUGGCGAAGGCGACUGACUGGACUGACCCUGACGCUGAGGUGCGAAAGCGUGGGUAGCAAACAGGAUUAGAUACCCUGGUAGUCCACGCCGUAAACGAUGGAUACUAGGUGUGGGAGGUAUCGACCCCUUCCGUGCCGCAGCUAACGCAAUAAGUAUCCCGCCUGGGGAGUACGGUCGCAAGGCUGAA
rnacentral:rRNA from 1 species